rnacentral:rRNA from 1 species
CAACCCUUAUCCUUUGUUGCCAGCGAUUAGGUCGGGAACUCAAAGGAGACUGCCAGUGAUAAACUGGAGGAAGGUGGGGAUGACGUCAAGUCAUCAUGGCCCUUACGACCAGGGCUACACACGUGCUACAAUGGCGCAUACAAAGAGAAGCGACCUCGCGAGAGCAAGCGGACCUCAUAAAGUGCGUCGUAGUCCGGAUUGGAGUCUGCAACUCGACUCCAUGAAGUCGGAAUCGCUAGUAAUCGUGGAUCAGAAUGCCACGGUGAAUACGUUCCCGGGCCUUGUACACACCGCCCGUCACACCAUGGGAGUGGGUUGCAAAAGAAGUAGGUAGCUUAACCUUCGGGAGGGCGCUUACCACUUUGUGAUUCAUGACUGGGGUGAAGUCGUAACAAGGUAACCGUAGGGGAACCUGC